rnacentral:rRNA from 1 species
CCUACGGGAGGCAGCAGUGAGGAAUAUUGGUCAAUGGUCGGGAGACUGAACCAGCCAAGCCGCGUGAGGGAGGAAGGUACAGAGUAUCGUAAACCUCUUUUGUCAGGGAACAAAGGCGGGGACGUGUCCCCGGCUGAGUGUACCUGAAGAAAAAGCAUCGGCUAACUCCGUGCCAGCAGCCGCGGUAAUACGGAGGAUGCGAGCGUUAUCCGGAUUUAUUGGGUUUAAAGGGUGCGCAGGCGGUCUGUUAAGUCAGCGGUCAAAGCCCGGGGCUCAACCCCGGCCCGCCGUUGAAACUGGCAGUCUCGAGUUGGAGAGAAGUAGGCGGAAUGCGCGGUGUAGCGGUGAAAUGCAUAGAUAUCGCGCAGAACUCCGAUUGCGAAGGCAGCAUGCCGGCUCCAAACUGACGCUGAGGCACGAAAGCGUGGGUAUCGAACAGGAUUAGAUACCCUUGUAGUC